rnacentral:rRNA from 1 species
CCUACGUGAGGCAGCAGUGGGGAAUAUUUGGCAAUGGAUGCACCUCUUCUCCAGCAACGCCGCGUGAUUGAUGAAGGUUUUCGGAUUGUAAAGUUCUUUUCUCAGGGAAGAAGAAAGUGACGGUACCUGAGGAAUAAGCCUCGGCUAACUACGUGCCAGCAGCCGCGGUAAUACGUAGGAGGCGAGCGUUAUCCGGAAUGACUGGGGGUAAAGGGUGCGUAGGUGGUUUGGCAAGUUAGUAGCGUAACUCCACGGCUCAACCUUGGAACUACUACUAAAACUGUUGGACUUGAGUGCAGGAGGGGCAACCGGAAUUCCUAGUGUAGCGGUGGAAUGCGUAGAUAUUAGGAGGAACACCAGUGGCGAAGGCGGGUUGCUAGACUGUAACUGACACUGAGGCACGAAAGCGUGGGGAGCAAACAGGAUUAGAUACCCUAGUAGUC